UGGAAAAUAACUUAGAAAAUUUUCGCUGGUUGUCUGAAAUGUAUAUGUAGUUUAAUACAUGUAUGAAUUUAUUUGCAUCAAGUAUUUUGUAUUUAAAAGAAAAUGCAAUAAAGAUAAUUAUAAAUUUGUUCUAGAAAUAAGAACAGUUCUGGAACUGUUCCAUAUUUGUGUUCUAAAACGUAUGUUCUGGAAUUGUUCCAAAACAGUUUUUUUAUAAUAAAUCCAGCACAUUUGUGGAAAAUGGCUUAGGACUGAAACUGUUCCAAUAUUUUCAAGAACCUUUUUAGAACAUUUCAAGGACAAAAUAUGGUCAAAAAUUUCUAAAAAUGUUUUAAAAUGUAGUUCUAGAACACAUCUAGAACGCUUUAAGAACCAGUAAGUUCUACACAAGUUCUAAUGGGGAAUAAGAACACAUAAAGAACACCUUACACUUACAAAUAGCCAAAUAGACUUCAUAGUAGCAACAGCAGCAGCAGCAGUAGUAGUAGUAGUUGUAGUAGCUGUAUUAGUAGUAGUAGUUGUUGUUGUUGUAGUAGGUGUUGUUGUUGUAGUAAUUGAUUUAGUAUCAGUAGUGUUUGUGGUGGUAGUAGUAGUAGUAGAAGUAGUAGCAUUAACAGUUUCUGUAGCAAUAGUAGUAGCAAUAGAAGUAGCAGUAGUAGCAGUUGUUGCUGUAGUAGCAGUUGUUGCUGCUGCUGCUGUUGUUGUUGCUGCUGUUGUUGUUGCUGCUGUUGCUGCUGUUAUUGUUGCUGUUGUUGUUGGUGGUGGUGUUGUUGAUGCUGUAGUAAUUAAAGUAGUAGUUCUGCAGAAGUAGGAGUAGUUGUUACUUUCAAAGCAAUUUCUACAAGUUUAAAUUCCUUAACCCUGUCCAAGUGGUAUACACACUGUUUUUUCUCAUUAUCAAACUCAGCCAGUCCAGGUUGUCAAAUAACAAUCUAUCUGAUAAGCCAAGCAUGUGUUGUACAUCAGAUGUUGGGUAUGUUUGCUGCAAAUCUAUUGGUUAUAAGAUAUAACAGCCUUUUCUAAUUGGCUGAAUUCAAAUACAGAAAGUUUACCUGUUAGAUUGAAACAUGAAACAUGGUGGACAAUGUACUGGUUUAACUUAUUAAAAUAAAGUUAAAGAAAUUUAACAAACAAAAGAGUUCAUUAGUUUUUCCAUUAAAAACACUUUCUUAAAAUACUUAUGUAUUUAUAUCAUUUGGAAAGUGACAUGAAAUAUUGCUAAAGAGUGAUGCAUACAGUGUUUGAGCAGUCUGUCUAGGAAUAGAACAACAACUAAAGUUGAUGGAAGAUACUGCAGAGUUUGGCAGGGAAAUAAUCCAACAGCAAAGCGGCUCUUUAAGCGCAUUUACCUAGAGGACUUACAGGGCCACAAAUUCAUGAGCACAUGUGAGCAGUAUACAAUGUACCUCAUAUCAAAAAGACCCGGAGGCAGUGACUGGUGUUCAAUAUUCUCAGAAGAAAAGGAAAAUGGCAGUGGAAGACUUGGACAAACAUUUUUAAAAACUAGCCUCUGUGUUAAGCCUGGCAGUCUGUGGCUGGUGACAUGUUUUAUUUUGGUUACUUCCUGUAUAAAAAGGACCAGUUAUUUAUUUUGUGAAUUGUAUUUUGUGUUUGUUUUUUGUCUUAAUUUAUUUGUGUUUUUUUUAAUUUAGGAAUUUGAAACUUGGAUAAUUGAAUAAAGUCCGUGUUCAACAGUACUGAGCAUAGUAUAAUAAAUAACAAAUUUACAACAGUUGUUAAUUUGUUAUGUAUUAUUAUUAACUAUGCUCAGUACUUGAAUACUGGCUGUCUGCAUGGGAAUUUGUUUUCUAGAAAGUUGGUUUCAGACUUAAAUAUUUGAAGUUAACCUUCAGAACUUUUCUAGAAUUGUACUGGAACACAUCAACUAGAACUGAACUUCUGUUAUCAUACUGAAAGUGUUCUAGAAUUAAUAAGGAACAGUUGUUGAACGUUAAAAAUUAUGAGAAAAAACUCUAGAACAAUUGUGCGUGAUGUGUGUGUGCAUGUAAUUGUGUGUGUUUAUGAACAUAUGUGAGAAAGGAGGUAUACUUGUCAUAAGAGAAAUGUAAAAUUCUACUUCUAUGUUUUAUAUUGUGCCUUUUAUAAGUUUUUCUUUUCUCACCUGUAUAUGCAUGCAUGUUUAUGGAUGUGUUUUUGAAUGUGUGCAUGCAUGCCUGUGGUUAAGAGAGUUGGUACUUUAUGAAAAUGUAAAACCACUCAUUUUUGAAUAUGUACUGUGACUGCAUGUGUGUGGUUAAUGAUUGAUGCCAGAUCUUGUUCUUGUUUAACUUCUAUGAUGAAACCUUUAGUUACAUUCACAUUUGUUUUUCAAAAUCAAUAAAAUGCCUUUGAUCUAUAA